UAAGCGGAGGAAAAGAAACUAAUCAGGAUUUCCCUAGUAACGGCGAGUGAAGAGGAAAGAGCUCAAAUUUGAAAUCUGCUUGCCGUGUUGGCUGAGUCGAAUUGUAAUCUCGAGAGGCAUGCUCUGUGCUGGACCGUGUCAGAGUCUGUUGGAACACAGCGUCAAAGAGGGUGACAACCCCGUUCGUGACACGGAUCGACCAGUGCUCUGUGAGCGGCCCUCCAAGAGUCGAGUUGUUUGGGAAUGCAGCUCAAAGGGGGUGGUAAAUUCCAUCUAAAGCUAAAUAUGGGCGAGAGACCGAUAGCGAACAAGUACCGUGAGGGAAAGAUGAAAAGCACUUUGGAAAGAGAGUUAACAGACGUGAAAUUGUUGAAAGGGAAACGAUUAAAGUCAGACACGCCUGCGAGAGUUCAGUCUUUCCGGCAACCGGGGGACGGACGCUCUCGCGUUUGGCGGGCCAGCGUCGGUUGGCAGUCGGACUGGAAAAGGAUGGCAUGGAAUGUAGCAUGGGCUCCGGCACGUGUGUUUAUAGACUUGCUACCGAUACAGUCCGGCCGACCGAGGAACGCCGUCGUAGGACGCUGGCAGAAUGGCUUUAAA
rnacentral:rRNA from 1 species